UGCUUUCCACUCCGCGCUGGCGGCUGCUGCGACCACCUCCGAGCCGCGCUUCCGCAGCUAGCUGGAAGUUUUAGCCGGUGAUCCUCCUCCUCCGCCGGGGCCGCAGCCUGCCGAUCAGCUACAUUGCGGCCUCCAUCCGUACAUCAGCAGCAGCACUGCCAUCCAACCGAAGCCGCCGCCUUCUUCCUCCUCCGUUCCAGACGCAGCAAGCCCUAGCCGCCUUCGCCCUCGCCUCAGUCGGUUUCUUCCAAUCCAUUCGCGUCACUUCGCGUUCCACCGACGGAUCAGCAGAAGCCCUCAACUAAUUUUGACAUGCAUCCACUAGAGCUCGCCGGAGACGUCGUCGUCUUCCCUGGAUCCGGCCAAAACCGCCGCCGCGGCAGCCCCCUCUGCUGGGGCAUCCUGGGGCACUCAGGAGUUCGUCACCAUGGCCAAUCCGAUCUCUCCCUCGCUCCAGAUUGCUUCCCCACGUGAUGCUCCAACAACAACACAGAUGAUUUUGUAUGAGAAGUGGAGGCGUCAGGGAGAGUUAAAAGCAAGAGGAAGAGGAAGCAUUGAAGGCAAUGUCACUUCUACAGAGGGGCGAAACAAAGGAAGUGGUUUCGAUGGCGGGUGCGUUUUUGUACUUCACACUCAGUAAAGAAGAUAUUAUGAGCACUUUGCUCAUCAAGAUGGAAUACCU